rnacentral:lncRNA from 1 species
GGCGGCCAGGCCCGGCUGGUGCUUCUCUGGGCGCCGCUGAAAGCCCAGCUCCGCAGGAGCUACAGGCCAUUCCUUCCUUCUGAGUACGGGGCAGGACUCUCUCUGGGAUGGAGGGGUCUUAGGACCUGCAAGCAAACAAGACUCAGCCCACCUGCACUGAGGUGAAAUAAACAGCUUUAUUGCUCACACAAAGCCUGUUGGUGGACUCUCUUCACAUUGAUGCGCGUGACAUUUUGUGCUGUGACUUGGAUUGGGGGCCCUUCCUUGGGAGAUCAAUCCCCUGUCCUCCUGCUCUUUGCUCCAGGAGAAAGAUCCACCACGACCUUGGGUCUUCGGACCAACCAGCCCAAGGAACAUCUCACCAAUUUUAAAUCGGACAGGAAUGUCAGGCCUCUGAGCCCAAGCGAAG